rnacentral:lncRNA from 1 species
AUGUUGGGGAACCGCAGAACCAUAGGAUGGCUGGCGUCGGAAGGGAGCUCAGGGAUCAUCAGGUUCCAGCCCUGCUGCCACAGGCAGGAUUGCCAACCACCAGACCAAAUAGUAGCACAGGAUGCCCAGGGCCCCAUCCAACCCCAUCAACCCCAUCCAACCCCAUCCAACCCCAUCAACUCCAUCAACUCCAUCCAACCCCAUCAACCCCAUCCAACCCCAUCCAACCCCAUCAACCCCAUCCAACUCCAUCCAACCCCAUCCAACCCCAUCCAACCACAUCCAACCCCAUCCAACCCCAUCAACCCCAUCAACCCCAUCCAACCACUGCCAACCCAAUCCAACCCCAUCAACCCCAUCCAACCCCAUCCAACCCCAUCCAACCCCAUCAACCCCAUUCAACCCAGCCUUGAACACCUCCAGGGAUGGAUGGGGCAUCCACAGCCUCUGGGGAAUCUGUUCCAGCACCUCAACACCUUCUCAGUGAAAAACUUCCCCAACACCCACCCUAAAUCUUCCCUCCUUCAGCUUAAAACCAUUCUCUCUUGUCCUAUCACUAUCUGCCCAUGUAUAAAGCUGUUUUUCCUCCUGUUUAUGAUCUCCCUCUACAUACUGAAAGGCCACAGUGAGGUCACCCCGCAGCCUUCUCUUCUCCAGGCUGUACAGUCACAGAAUCACAGAAUCACAGAAUCACAGAAUCACAGAAUCACAGAAUCACAGGGGUUGCAAGGGACCUCCAGAGAUCAUCCAGUCCAACCCCCUGCCAACGCAGGUUCCCUACACCAGGUACGAGCCCAUUUCCUUUGGCCUGUCUCCACGGUAGAGGUGCUCCAGCCCUCUGACCACCUUCGUGGCCCUCCUCUGGACCCUCUCCAAAACCUCCUUAUCUUUCCUGCCUUGGGGAUCGCAGACCUGGAUGCAAUCCUCCAUCCGGGGCCUCAGGAGGGCAGAGCGGAGAGGCACCAUCACCCCCUUCGCUCUGCUGGCCGCUCUUCUUCUGAUGCAGCCUGGGAUAUUAUCGACCUUCCAGACGCACACAACGCUGGCUCACUUCUUCAUCUGCCAGGACCUCCCAGUCCCUCUCAGCAGGACUAUCUCAAGGAGUCCUUCUUCCAAUCUGUAUCCAUAUCUGGGAUUACCAGAAAGUUUGUUCAUAAUUAA